GAUCCUGGCUCAGGAUGAACGCUAGCGGCAGGCCUAACACAUGCAAGUCGAGCGGUAGAGGACCUUCGGGUCCUUGAGAGCGGCGCACGGGUGCGUAACGCGUAUGCAACCUACCCUUUACAGGGGAAUAGCCCGUCGAAAGGCGGAUUAAUGCCCCAUGGCUCCUUCGAGAGGCAUCUCUUGGAGGGUAAAGAUUUAUCGGUAAAGGAUGGGCAUGCGUGCCAUUAGCUUGAUGGUGGGGUAACGGCCCACCAUGGCGACGAUGGCUAGGGGUUCUGAGAGGAAGGCCCCCCACACUGGGACUGAGACACGGCCCAGACUCCUACGGGAGGCAGCAGUGAGGAAUAUUGGUCAAUGGGCGGAAGCCUGAACCAGCCCAUGCCGCGUGCGGGAAGAAGGCGCUACGCGUCGUAAACCGCUUUUGUCCGGGGUAACCGUAGGGACGUGUCCCUACCUGCAAGUACCGGACGAAUAAGGGUCGGCUAACUCCGUGCCAGCCGCAGC
rnacentral:rRNA from 1 species